rnacentral:rRNA from 1 species
CACGGGGGGGAGCAAGCGUUGUUCGGAAUCACUGGGCGUAAAGGGCGUGUAGGCGGUUCGGUAAGUGGAAUGUGAAAUGCUCCGGCUCACCCGGAGUACUGCAUCCCAAACUGCCGAGCUUGAGUAUGGGAGAGGAUGAGGGAAUUCCUGGUGUAGCGGUGAAAUGCGUAGAUAUCAGGAGGAACACCGGUGGCGAAGGCGGGUCUCUGGGCCGAUACUGACGCUGAGGAGCGAAAGCGUGGGGAGCGAACAGG